rnacentral:misc_RNA from 1 species
CCUCCCCUAACCGGGAGGCAUGCCUGUCUGAGCGUCAUUUAAACCAUAGCCCCUUUAUGGGUCUGUCUUGGGCAUCGCCUGUGGGCGUAGCCUCAAAGUUAUCGGUCUGAGUGCGGACGAGAUCCAUUAGGACUUACCGUGCUGGGACCUUAAACCUCUGACUUGACCUCAGAUCAGGUAGGGCUACCACCUGAACUUAA